rnacentral:lncRNA from 1 species
CUUUAUCCUACCAAAAGAUGGACUGUUGGCCAGUAGAUUUCAAAGGUUAUGAUCCUUUGAAUUCUUAACUAUUUGUUCCACUAACAUCCUACUCUUACCAACUAAACUGCCUAACCAUAAGUCUAAUUCUCAAGGUUGUCAAUAACCAACCAAUAACUUUCCACAAAAUUUAUUUAUGUAUUCUAUAUAGCCCCACUCCUAAUUGUGUAGUGCCCUUGUAAACACACAAUUGUUACCUAUCUAAAAACUACUUAACAAAAUUUUACAAAGGUACUAUUUCCUCUAGCCCACCCAAUUGAUCAUUUGCUGCAUUAUCAAAUGUACG